rnacentral:rRNA from 1 species
UUUGAAAUUAGUUAUUUAUUUAUUGAGAAUAAAAAAAAUAGUUUUUAUAUUAGUAUUUUUUUAGAAAAUAGUGGGUUAAUUAUAGUGAAUAGUAUAGUGAUAGAAGUAUGAAUUAUUAUAAGUUAAAUUAAGUAAAAGAAGAAUUAAUUUUUUGUACCUUGUGUAUCAGGGUUUAUUAAAAUAAGUUAAUAAUUUAAUUUUCUCGAAUUGGAAAGAGCUAUAAUUAUAUAAAUUUAACUGUUGCAUAAUUUUUUAUAAUAUAAUUAUAGAAAUGAAACGUUAGUCGUUUUUUAAGAUAUCUAGUUUUCUAAGAAAUAAAUUUAAUUUAGUUUUUUAAGUGUAUAUUAUUUAUUAUAUAGGAGUAUAUUUGAAGAAUGUAAUAUUUUAAGGGAUAAGCUUUAAAAUAGAAUAUUAAAAAUAUAUAGUUGUUUUAAUUAAAAGAUUAGUAGGAUUGGAAAUGUUUAUCAGUAGUUUGUUAUAAUUAAUUUUUUAUUAAAUAAGAUUUAUAUAGAUUUUAAAUUUUUUAUUAGGAAUAUUUAUAGAAUUAUAUAUUAGAUGAUAUAAUGAUAGAAUUAGUAUAGUUUUGUUGUAUAAAAUAUUUUAAUUUUAAGGUUGAGUUAAGGAACUCGGCAAAUUUAUUUUUCGCCUGUUUAUUAAAAACAUGUCUUUUUGAUUAUAAUUUAAAGUCUAACCUGCCCAAUGAGUAGUUAAAUGGCCGCGGUACUUUGACCGUGCAAAGGUAGCAUAAUCAUUAGUUUUUUAAUUGAAAGCUGGAAUGAACGGUUGGACGAGAAAAUAACUGUCUCAAUUUAAUUUGCAUUAGAAUUUUAUUUAUAAGUAAAAAAGCUUAUAUGAAUUUAAAAGACGAGAAGACCCUAUAGAAUUUUAUAUUUAUUUAUAUAUAUUAUUUAUGGGAUGGUGAGUUUUAUAUAUAAAUAUGUAUUUUGUUGGGGCGAUAGAAAAAUUAACUUAACUUUUUUUAGAUUAAGUCAUUGAUUUAUGGGAAAAUGAUCCGUUUUUUACGAUUAUAAGAUUAAAUUACCUUAGGGAUAACAGCGUAAUUUUUUUUUAGAGUUCUUAUCGAAAAAAGAGUUUGCGACCUCGAUGUUGGAUUAAAAUUAACUUUUGGUGUAGGGGCUAAAAGGUUAGGUCUGUUCGACCUUUAAAAUUUUACAUGAUCUGAGUUUAAACCGGCGUGAGCCAGGUUGGUUUCUAUCUUUAAAUAAGAUAAAUACUUUAGUACGAAAGGAUUAGGUAUUUGUAAAAUUUAUUAUAUUUUGAAUAUUAUU